GCAGGUGUGGCUCAGUUGGUAGAGCACUCCCUUGGUAAGGGAGAGGUCCCGGGUUCGAGUCCCGGCACUUGCACCA
rnacentral:tRNA from 5 species